rnacentral:misc_RNA from 1 species
GGGGGGGUAUACGUGUAGCACUGAUUACAACUGGUCUUUUAUUAAGUUUUUCUUUCUUUUUUACUCGGGGGGUAUUUAGCUACUGGAGAUUAUGAGAUGGAUUAAGGAUAACUCUCCUAACUGUGAUGUAAUCACACACCAAAACUGGUUUGAACCAAAAGGUCAUAAACUUUUCACCUUUACAAUCAUGCUUUAAAAAAUACACAGCUUUUAAAAAAUAGACCCUUCAAUAAUCUGCAACUUUACUCGUUUUACUUUGCCAUUCAGCCACUGCGCAUAAUAUAGAACUAUUUUGUCAUGUUUCCCCAUAUUGGUGAAUUUAAUGACUAUUUUACAUUACCUGUAUUAGGGUAUUUAUAAAAACAUUGUGAUAAAUCACCCAUGUAUCCCUUAUUAAGUAUAUGUACAUUUCUCCACCAAAUACUGAAUGUAAACGUAUCACAUUGGGUGUAGUCAGAUUCUUGUAUGUAUUUUUAUAUGCGUGUUUUUAUUUUAUACAAUAAAUUUAAAAUUUC